UUGCCGCCGGCUGCAGCCUGAGGCCCGGCAGAGGGCAGCGCGGCGCGAGGAGCCGGCGGGAAUCGAGCUCUGAGGGUCCGGGCCCGGAGCGCCCCCGCAGCCACGCACCUCCACUGCAAGGCGAGGGCGAGAGGGAGCCUCCGCGGAACUCCUCCGCCUCCCCUUCUCCCGCGUUUGUCUUCCUGGGACAACCACCUUCAGUCUAGCUAGCGUAGGCCCGGCCAGCCUGAGCGGGUGCCGCAGCCUUUUGGGACGGGAUCCUGGCAGCUUCGCGAUGCCAGGCCAUCUGACCGUCGGCGCCACUGGCACAGGGCAGAGAGAUGCAGGUGGCCCACGGACCGGACCGCAACCAAGAGGUCUAAGGGUUGAGGUCCCAGAUGCGUCAGGGGGAGAAGGCUGAGCUUCCUGCUCCCAGGGAGACCUCCCUGCCCAACAGCCCCCAGAGACACAACAACCUACCUUCCAGCCUUAACUCGAUGGUCCGUCCCUGCCGGGUGCCCCUCACCCCCUUCCUGACCCCAAAGCCAGAUCACCCCCCGGGUUAAAAUUUUUGUUUCGUUUUAACAGCGUGGGGAGGGAAUUCCCCAAAGGAUAGAUUCCUUCCGAUUCCUUCCCGUGCCAGGUUCCAGCCCUCCGUUACCUCCUGCCCCAGGGGAUCUGCCUGACUGGGGGAUGUGGAAUUCUAGGGGUCUGUUGGUGGUGGGCAGAGGGGUGCCCAGGAGGGGGUCAGGUUGUGCCAGUGACGAUUCUGUCUCCCCACCCCACCCCACUCUGCUUACCCCAAAUUCUGCCUGCCUCAGAUCUCAGGGUAGCCUGACUGUUCUGGGCAGGAGCUGGGAAGGGAAUCAUGGGACCCCUGUGCCUGGGGGAGAUGCCUGCAUCCCCACCUGUGGGUGGAGGCCCUCAGGAUCUGACACCCCUGUCCCAACACCAGUUAGCCCUACGCCCUAAUUCACUCCACCCCAUUUUCUCCGGCUGCCUGGCCGGGUUUCUACCUCUCGUCACCGGAGCUGAUCACUGUCAGUUUUGUACAGAUUUAGAAAUAACAAUAAUAAUGAUUCUAGGAAGUGCCCUGAGGGGUUAACGGGGGGCUUGGAGAGAAAGAGAAACGGUGCCAUGUCCCUUGCCCCCCGCCAAAGGAGGUUCUCUUUGAGGCUGAGCCCUUCCCUGGUCCAGUGGGAGGAUAUCAGGGACCCUUGGUUAAAGGAGGAGGCCACAUGGAACAAUCCAGCUUUGGCCAGCUCAGCCAAGGCUGCAGCACAUAAGCCAGGAAAUCAGGUAGCCCAGUGUGAUGGCGAGGAGCCUGGGGGAAGGGUCACCACUGGGCCUUUACCACUAAGACCCAGCGUGUGGGGAAUCAAUGAUUCUCUCUUCCACUUCCCCCACUGGUCCCCACCCCGUCCCCCCACUGGGGGCAGCACAGCCCUACAGCAGCUGCCCCGACUUUGGGCAGACCAUUGCACUGGGUUUUAGUCCCUGCUGUGCUGCACGACUGGGCAAAUGUCUUGCCCCUCUCUGAGCCUCCCUCUGAAACAGAGGCGCGUGGCUCCCCUCCUCCACACUUUAGAGUGGCCAGGAGGGUAAGGAAGAGGGCUGCCCGCUCUUGUCUUCGCACCCUUGUCCCCUGGUCCACCAGAGGGAUGGAGGGGAAGGAUGACAGCGUCUCCUAUGCCCACUUACCCCCAACUCUGAGGCACCUGAGGUAAGGGUGGGGGACUCAGGCCUCUGGCUGCCCACUGUGGGAACCACUGGAAUGUAUCCCCCAACAGGCUCCCCAUCACACCCUGUGCUUUGCCCCAGUUCUUGGAUUUCAGGUCCCUCCACGCCCAUUCUGAGUCUCUGUCCUUCCCCCUUCCCCACCAGGGUUUCCCACCACAGGGUCUGGAAGUGUGUGUGAUGCCCAUUAGGCUGUUAUCAGAAGUCAGAUUAAACAUCAGGGAGUGUUUCCUUGUUUCUGUACCAAGGUGUUGGCUCUGUUCCACGUGGAAGGAGGGGAGGGGUCGCUACAAUACCUGCCUGCUGAGCUGUGUGUGGCAGGAGGGUCACCAAUCCCAAAGCUCAGGUCAGCGAGAUCAAAGGAGAAGAGUU
rnacentral:lncRNA from 1 species